GCUGCGCAUCUCUUGACUAGGGAUGUUGAUGCACCGUGCUGUAAGAGGAUGCUUGCUGAAGCGGAUAAAGAGGAAUCUGAUGACUCAGAGGAAAGCAGGAGGGUAAUGAAAAGUGCAACAGAACGAAAAAAAAAUUAAGAAAAAGUCAAGUAACGCCUCAAAAGGGAAGCAGGUGUCACGUCCCCCUUCUCCACCUCCAUUUAUCGCUCACCACCAAAAAGAAAACAUCUGUGUGGAGACACGGCAGCCAGUCCCCCAAUCAACAUCAUCAAAUAUGGAAGUUGAGGUGAACAUUCACCCUACUCCACAGGAUAACCAAACAUUCAGUGGCCUAGAUGGCAGUGGAGUUUCACAGAGAUGGACUCAUUCCUGGUGUCCACCCCUGUGCGUUCUGUGUGUGUACUUUGUGCUAUUUUUGUGAAUAGUCAUAGGUCAGAUGCAUGACAAUUUGUCACAUAAAUAUGUAUUCUGUUUUUGAUAAAUAGUUUGUUCAUAUUGCAGCUCAAUGUUUGUUCAUAUUGCAGCUCUUACCACGGCCUCUCAAAACUCUCAGGGAGUUAGAGGAUCUGAAUGUGUCGCAGGUCUGAAUUUGGUGUCGCAGGAAGUGUCGCAGGAAGCAGUGUCCCUCGAGCUGACGCUAUUUUCUUCUAAUCUCUAUACUUUAAAAUGAUUCUUUUUUUUUUUUUACCUUUACAACAUUUAUUAUGUUGUAUGAUGUAUAAACAUCAUUAUACAACAACAUUAACAUAUAUAUAAUAUCACUGAUACUACUUUAAAUAAAACAAUCGUAACGUUGUGCUGUCGCUAAGUUUUAUUGGUUCUUACAAACAUCCGUGACUAGUGAUGCUAGCUGUCUACAAGCCUCACUGCUAGCCUUGUUUACAUUUUACAUUUAUCUCAUUUACCGCUGUUUUUUAAAGCAAAUAUGUCGGUUGUUUCUCCGAUUUUGAGUGCACCUGGUGCUGCUGGAACUAGGGGAUGUGGAGAAACACAUCCGCGACCUACUCGACAAGCAGGCCCAGCUGCUGGAGUGAAGAACUGCGCUGGAAACAUCUUGUGCUUCUGCCUACACAUCCAGGCAUGCUUACUUGAAGACAAUGAGGGGGAGCAGCAUCGGAGAGAUAGUUUGCUCCAUUCUCCAAAGAAUCGGGGAGAACAACCUGUGGUGUAUGUUUUCGUUGAAAGGGUCCAAAGGUGGGAAGUUGGCUUUGACUGAUCAGGAUGAAGUGUAUCGCCUUUUACACUAUAUUGCUGAACAAGCCCAUGGACGUGAAUAUACUGUUGCCAGUUGCAGAGAGGCCAUCGGCAGCUACGUAAAAAAUGCCCCAGCCAGGAAAAGUGGCAAGAAACAUAAUAUGAUUGUUUAUGCAUGUCUAGAAUUUAAAUCUACAACUUCUGUGAUUCUGUUUCUUUUCUCAUUCAUACAGAUGUGCCAUUGUGUAACAUUGUUGACUGAUUCAUUAGUUUUUAUAUCCAUUUGAAAAGCAAAAACCUUUCCACUAUGCAUAUAACUGAAAGUGCAUACAUACUCCAAACCUUUUGUGAAUAUUGAUGAUUGAUUUGGAGGUUUCAAAUUAUGAGUGAAUUGUGGUUCACUUUCUUGCGUUCAGGAAUGUGUAGCUAAUGUCUGUAGUUUACUGAUUCAGUAAUUGUUGGUUCAGACUGCAUCAUAUAGUACAUGUAUAUACCAAUGAAAUGAAAUGCCAUAUAUUCAGAUAUAUCCACUGUCUGUUCACAGCAGAGCUACGUGGGAUCUCCACUGCGUCCUACAAGAAUUGGGUGUGAGUCCAAUUUUGGAAUCUCAUUCCUCUCCCUCGCGUGACAUCCUCCAAACAGUACAAUUCUAAUGAGCUUGUAUAUACUGAGAAUUCCAUUGGGAUUUGUUUGAUGUCUGAUUAAUAAAUUGUUUUCUAUGUUUAGCAAUACAUAGGUAUAUCUGGCUGUUUUGUGUGUUACAAUAUUGAAUGUCAUUUUUCAGCUAUUCACUUUGUCUGCAUUUACUAAAAUUCAUGCAUGUUUAUUAAAAAUAUUCACGGAGUUUGUUAAACUAUAUCAUUGUUACCUGUCAUUCAUAAGAUUCAUCAUGGGAAUUUCACAGACCAGAAUCUAACAUCCACAUUAUUGAAGCAUUGUUUAAUUACGGAUUUUUUAAAGCAUGCGGUAUGUUAUAUGCUUUAAUUGUAUCUUGCCACAUAAUGUUGGAAAAU